GGAAAUUCCUUUUCCAGAGUUCUCACUUACUAAUUUGGCUAACAUUACCAAUGGUAACAGACCCCACGUAUCCGCCACAAUUGCUGUGAGUUGCAGAGGAAAAAGACUGGGAGGAAAUCUUCACUUUUCUUCUGCAACAGCAACCAACAGAAAUGAAAGAGCCAGGGGAUUUUGCAAAAUAUCAACUCCUGAGAACUAAGAAUGAGAGCCUUUCCUGCCAAGCCCAUUCUGUGCCAGUCAUCAUAAAAUACGAUGACCCUUCCUUCCAGAAGAACAAUGCGCUGUGAUCUUUGGCUACUCAAGCUUUACAUCAUCCAUAUUACCCUGCAGCAGGAACAGAUUGAUGGGUAUUUUCACUGCCCCCAGAGAGUUACCCUCUAAUCCUUCAUUUGCUGCUCCAGCACAAUUGCACGGAAGCAAUAGCAGGGAUAGUUAGAGUGCAUACAAUUGAUUCCAAUCCAUCCAUCACUUAAACUACUGUCUAGGACAUCAGGAGGCCACGGGAUUCUAUAGCACAUCCUUGAAUUGUGUUUAUCCAAUCCACAUUUCUCUUCUGCUGGACAUUCAGAGGACUGUUUCUCACUAAUAUCAGGAGAAAUCUGUCUUGGUGUUGGAGCCUCUUGGAAUUCGUGACAAGGAAAAAAGUACACCAAGUAAACUAGUAAAACAAAAGUGAGAAGGCCCUUGACAGAUGUGAGCCCCUUGACCUUGGACUUCC
rnacentral:lncRNA from 1 species